rnacentral:tRNA from 1 species
CUCUCGGUGGCCAAGCUGGCUAAGGCGCGAGACUGUAAUGUGUGAUUGUAAUCUUGAGAUCGGGUGUUCGACUCACCCCCGGGAGA